GGAGAGGUGCCGGAGUGGUUGAACGGGACGGUCUCGAAAACCGUUGUAGGCGCAAGCUUACCGAGGGUUCGAAUCCCUCUCUCUCCGCCA
rnacentral:tRNA from 3 species